rnacentral:rRNA from 1 species
UGCAAGUCGAACGGGAUUUCAUUUGUAGCAAUACACGUGAAGUUCAGUGGCGUAAGGGUGCGUAACACGUGGGCAAUCUGCCGAGAUGUGGGGGAUAGCUCGCCGAAAGGCGAAUUAAUACCGCAUGUGGUUAGUGAAGUCAUCUUCACGACACCAAAGCCGGGGCGACCUGGCGCAUCCUGAUGAGCCCGCGGCCUAUCAGCUAGUUGGUGAGGUAAUGGCUCACCAAGGCUAUGACGGGUAGCUGGUCUGAGAGGACGACCAGCCACACUGGAACUGAGACACGGUCCAGACACCUAAGGGUGGCAGCAGUCGAGAAUUUUUCUCAAUGGGGGAAACCCUGAAGGAGCGACGCCGCGUGGAGGAUGAAGGUCUUCGGAUUGUAAACUCCUGUCAUUUGGGAACAAUUGUCACCGAUUAACUGUCGGGGGCUUGGUAGUACCAGAAGAGGAAGAGACGGCUAACUCUGUGCCAGCAGCCGCGGUAAUACAGAGGUCUCAAGCGUUGUUCGGAUUCAUUGGGCGUAAAGGGUGCGUAGGUGGCGAGGUUAGUCAGGUGUGAAAUCUCGGGGCUCAACCCCGAAACUGCACUUGAUACUGCCUUGCUAGAGUACUGGAGAGGAGAUUGGAAUUUACGGUGUAGCAGUGAAAUGCGUAGAUAUCGUAAGGAAGACCAGUGGCGAAGGCGAAUCUCUGGACAGUUACUGACACUGAGGCACGAAGGCCAGGGGAGCAAACGGGAUUAGAUACCCCGGUAGUCCUGGCAGUAAACGGUGCGCGUUUGGUGUGGGAGGAUUCGACCCCUUCUGUGCCGGAGCUAACGCGUUAAACGCGCCGCCUGGGGAGUACGGUCGCAAGAUU